GGCGCCUGAGGGACGACCUGGAACACUCCAGGGGCACCGCCAACGGCCGGGGGAGCGCGCUCACGCGUCCAAGAAGGCGCGCGGCGCGGCGGCAACACGGCCGCCCCACCGUGGGGAGGGCCGCCCGCGAGACACAGCCAAGAGGCACAGGCGGAGCAUCCGCCGCGUCACGGAGACCCCGACACCGCCCACGCCACAAGGCACGGGGCGGGGGAGCGAGGUCGGGCCGGAUUCCGCACCCCUGCCACCUCCCACACGCCACUCGCAGCGGGGGAGAACGGGCGAGGGGGCCCGCGGGCAGAGCGAGAAGAGCGGUCCCGUUCGCCAUGAACGUCCGUCCCUCGUCUGGCACGGCUUAGGCCCGGCCCGGAGAGCACAGCAUCACCACAUCGAUCAGCAGCAUAACGCGAGGGAUCCCCGAGCAAGGGAAGGCCGGCGAGGACAGCGAGCGGAGGAGCCUGCUUCAGCCUCACCGGCCCCCCUCCUCCUCUAGCAAGCGCGGGCGACGACCCCAGGACGAGAACGCCUGACACGCACUGGCACGGAGCCGGCGGGACGGGGGGCAAGAAUCGCCGCGCCCGGAGACGGGGCCCACCCACGGAUCACGAGGGGAACCCCUGGAUCACGGCCACGGCCACCAGACCCCAAGCACGACCCCAUCGCCACCAGGCCCGGAGCUCCCGGGCCAUCUGGUCGACCCCAGAAGCGUGGCGGCAGGGGGAGCCGGGGACAGCCUCCCCGGGCCGCCCGCGCGGGCCGGGACCGGUCGGUCCCUCCCUCUGAGUCGCCGGGUCAGGACUUAGAAAAGAAUUCCACGGAGGAGCCUCCGGCGACCGGGCCCGGGGCGGGACCGUGGCUCCCGUCCCUCAGCCGGGGCUCCACCUACGCCUCGAGCCGGCCCCCUCCCACCUCCGGACAAAGACGCGACCCGCGAAACUCGGAGAGAGAAGUCCGGUCCGACGGCCCGGACCCACCCGGGCACGCGUCCCGGCCGGGGACGCCCUCCCCGGCCCGCCCUCGAGGGCUCCCGGGGCCGGUCCACGCUCUUCUCCAGGGCGGGACUUGGACAAAAAACUGCCACGGAGGAGGAGGCAUCCGAGGACCGGGCCCGGUCCCCACCGCCAGAGCCGGUCGACUCGGAAGACCAGUGGGGAAAAGGCCAGCCCGGCGGCCGAGCCCGUCGCGCCCUCCACGGGCCUCCCCCGCAAGGCCCCGGCCGGUCCCCCACCUCCGGAGCGGGGCGCGGAAAGGGGAUCGGCGACGCGGAAGGCCCGACCACCGGGCCGCCCUCAGGACGACGGCCGGGCACGGGACGAGUUCCCUCGCCCGUUCCCCCGCGGUGGCCCCCCACCCCCUCCCGGGGACGGAGGGGCACCGGCGGCUGCUGGUCGACCCGUCCGGGAGGCCCCACACCCCGGCCGGCACCGGGCGGCGCGGCGACAGCCACCUCCCUCAGUAGCCUGCACCUCCAAUCUCCGGCGAGCGGGCGUCGCGCUCACGCACCGGCGCCACCGGGCCAGAUCCCGCCAGCGACGCCGGCCUCCCGGGACUCUGCCUCGGUCACCGCGGCCGAGUCCCGUCCCUUGGCCCGCGUCGCCGGAGCUCCGGAGGAAAGAGACGAUAUAAAAGCGGCCGCCAGGUGGCACCCGGCGACCGGCGACCGCCUCAGCGGGACGGAGCCGGAGCGCGGGCCCGCCGGGGAG
rnacentral:lncRNA from 1 species